GCAGGAAAAUGACAUCUCUAUGCUGCUCCUUCCAUGAUACACGGAGGAUCUUACAAACAAGCUGCAGAGCCUGGUCUUCGGAAACAUCCGAGUUUGCAGAUGUUUCCUAGGGUAGCAGAUACAGCAGCAGGAUAAAACUCAAUGGAAUUUACCUGUGUUAAUAAGAAAAAACAGCUGAGAAGUCUCCCACCAAAGAAGAAAGGCCCUUUGGUCUUACGCCGAAGCUUUGAAG